ACGAACGCUUGCGGCGUGCUUAACCCCUGCCAGUCGCACGGAAAGGCCCUGCUUUUGUGGGGUGCUCGAGUGGCGAACGGGUGAGUAACACGUGAGUAACCUGCCCUUGACUUUGGGAUAACUUCAGGAAACUGGGGCUAAUACCGGAUAGGAGCUCCUGCUGCAUGGUGGGGGUUGGAAAGUUUCGGCGGUUGGGGAUGGACUCGCGGCUUAUCAGCUUGUUGGUGGGGUAGUGGCUUACCAAGGCUUUGACGGGUAGCCGGCCUGAGAGGGUGACCGGCCACAUUGGGACUGAGAUACGGCCCAGACUCCUACGGGAGGCAGCAGUGGGGAAUAUUGCACAAUGGGCGGAAGCCUGAUGCAGCAACGCCGCGUGCGGGAUGACGGCCUUCGGGUUGUAAACCGCUUUCGCCUGUGACGAAGCGUGAGUGACGGUAAUGGGUAAAGAAGCACCGGCUAACUACGUG
rnacentral:rRNA from 1 species